rnacentral:rRNA from 1 species
AGAGUUUGAUCAUGGCUCAAGAACGAACGCUGGCGGCAUGCCUAACACAUGCAAGUCGAACGCCUGUAGCAAUACAGGAGUGGCGCACGGGUGAGUAACGCGUGGGAACCUGCCUAGUGGUAAGGAAUAACCGCGGGAAACUGCGGCUAAUACCUUAUGAGCCCUACGGGGGAAAGAUUUAUCGCCAUUAGAGGGGCCCGCGUCCGAUUAGCUAGUUGGUGAGGUAACGGCUCACCAAGGCGACGAUCGGUAGCUGGUCUGAGAGGAUGAUCAGCCACACUGGGACUGAGACACGGCCCAGACUCCUACGGGAGGCAGCAGUGGGGAGUAUUGGACAAUGGGGGCAACCCUGAUCCCAGCAAUGCCGCGUGAGUGAUGAAGGCCUUAGGGUUGUAAAGCUCUUUCGACGGGGAAGAUGAUGACGGUACCCGUAGAAGAAGCCCCGGCUAACUUCGUGCCAGCAGCGGC